AAGGCGUAACAAGGUUUCCGUAGGUGAACCUGCGGAAGGAUCAUUAACACGUAUCCAAACGUUAAAACAACCCUGUGAAUAUUGAAUCUCAGUUCCCAGGGCAGAAAAAUGGGCUUCCUUCAUUCAGGUUGAACAUGAUGCAUGUCUACCGCGCCCGACGAAAGUCCGACGCACCCCUAACCGAACAACUGUUAACAAUGGAUAUCUUGGUGCUC
rnacentral:misc_RNA from 1 species